rnacentral:lncRNA from 1 species
UGCUAUCGAGAAGCUGACUUCACUCCAAGUUCAGCUCUGCCCACCCCGCUCCCCUCACUGAACUCAGAGAGAGCAAGGGCUCUGGGAAACUGCCCUUCACAAGAGAAGCUAGUCCCCCCUGCCUCCUCCUUCCUCUUGCAUUCCUCCCCCACAUCAGGGGAGGGCCAGGGGAGAUCAUUGUCUUUCUACCUGUAGAUCCAUGAGACCAUUGAGUCCAUAAAUCAGCUCAAGAUCCAGAGGGACUUCAUGCUAAGUUUCUCCAGAGACCCCAAAGGCUACGUCCAAGACCUGCUCCGCUCCCAGAGCCGUGAUCUCAAGGUGAAGACGGGGCUCAGGGGUCACUGAUGUGAAGACAAGCACACAGGGAGGGGAAGAGGAGCAUGCAACUCGGGCAGGUGAGGCACUUGGAACUCACCGCAGGCCCCGUGCUCCCUCCCAGGUGAUGACAGAUGUGGCCGGUAACCCCGAGGAAGAGCGCCGGGCUGAGUUCUACCACCAGCCCUGGUCCCAGGAAGCUGUCAGCCGCUACUUCUACUGUAAGGUAAUGGAGGCCCUGGAACAUGAGGCUUCCUUCUCCUUCAGUCCUAAGAGAGGCCUUGCCUCUCACCUGGCAACAGUCUUUGCUGCUGCCUAUGCCCAACGCCUGUCCACCACCCUACACCCCCAUGCAGUAGUCUCCUGGCUCCCAGACUCUUCCAGGGAAGGGGUGCCAGGAGGGGGUGCCCCUGGUCACUCACCAGGGUCAUUGUAACCCUGCCCCUGCUCACGCUUCCUCUAAAGAUCCAGCAGCGCAGGCAGGAGCUGGAGCAGUCACUAGUUGUGCGCAACACCUAGGAGCCUGUGAACACGCAUCACUGUGGACCAGCCUCGCUGCCCAGCAUGGACCCUGGGCUCUGGACUCCCUCUCCCGUGCUGUGCUGGGG